ensembl:lncRNA
AAGAGGUGUGUCUUUAGUUUGCGGCGGAAGAUGUAAAGACUCUCAGCGGUCUUGGUGUCUUCAGAGAGCUCAUUCGACCAUUUCGGAACAAGGACAGCAAAGAGUCGUGAUCUAUUCGAGUGAUUUGCUCUCAGUGAGGGAGGGACAAACAGUUUGACAGAUGCAGAGCGGAGAGUGCGGGUUGGGAUGUAGGGUUUGACCAUGUCCCUGGAUGUAAGCUGGACCCGAUCCAUUCACAGCAUGGUACGUGAGCACCAAUGUUCUGAACUGGAUGCGGGCAGCCACCGGUAGCCAGUGAAGAGAGCGGAGGAAUGGAGUAGUGUGGGAGAAUUUCGGAAGGUUGAAGACCAGUCGAGCUGCUGCAUUCUGAAUGAGCUGCAGAGGUCGAAUGGCGGUGGCAGGGAGACCAGCCAGGAGGGAGUUGCAGUAGUCUUGUCGGGGUUGAUUUUCAGAUGGUGGGCGGACAUCCACUGAGAGAUGUCAGUUAGACAGGCAGAGAUCCGAGCCGCCACCUGGGUGUCCGAGUGAGGGAAGGAGAGAAUUAGUUGGGUGUCAUCGGCAUAGCUGUGGUAAGAGAAGCCAUGCGAGCGAAUGACAGCGCCAAGAGAGUUGGUGUAAAGCGAGAACAGGAGGGGACCCAGCACGGAACCCUGAGGAACACAGAUCCUCGCCAGGUUACCCGGUAGGUGCGGCCGUCGAGGUAGGUUUAAUCCUUUAAACAUCUGCGCGGGCAGCAAACUCAAACCGCUGCAGAAAUGCCUUAAACACAAACACACUUUGUAAUGGGUGUCAGGGGGGGGGCAACUCUUCUUACAAGGUGAUUUGUAUCGCUUUAAAUUUUUCACACUGGGUUUGCAGUUUCUGAAAGUUAAUUGUCACAUUUUGGUGUCCUAAAAGUGCCUCACUUAGCGUGUGGUAGUAUUUAGCUUCUGUUGAUGUUGUUUUUAAGAAAUGAUAUCAGCUAAGAAAUCUGUUGGGCAAAAUGAAGUUGGCACGGGUCCAUCACCCGUUUCCAACAGCCCGUGACGUGCGCCUCACACUUCAGUGCUUCUAUUUGCACAAAAGUAUGUUGGAUAAUAACACAAAUGUUGUGUAUGCAGUUUCGGACGCAGUAAGGAGUGACCACUUCAGUUUUAAACUCACUUUGGAAGCUAAGAAAAAAGGAUCAAAUCUAGGGAACAGGGAGGGGGAGAAACACUACAAUGCAACAAUUCUUGCUGAUCUGUAUGAACAUGAAUGCACAAAACCAUGUCAGAAGUGUAUGAAGCCAAGCAGUAAAAAUCUUCUUCGUGUUUUGAGACGUACGUAAUAAUCCAAGAUACAGAUGUAAGAAAUGAGCGGGCCCAUGUUGUCAUUGAAUCAUCCUCAAUCAUUAAAGGGACACCCAUCCACUUAUCCUUGGAUUGGUCACCACUCACUCGCAGGCCGAACAGAGACAAACAACCAUUCAUACACACACACUUACGGGCAAUUUAGAGUCCCCAAUUACCCAAAUCGGCAGAGGAAGCCGGAGUACCUGGAGAGAACCCACAGGAACCCGAGGAGAACAUGCACACAGGACCUUCUUGCUGCGAGGUAACAGUGCUAUCCACCACGCCACCAUGCCGCCCGUAUCAAAUGGAAAUGGUAGCCUUAAUUGUAUUCCAAUUUUUUGAAUUCCAGUCUUCUCCACUCUUAAGACAAAUACCUGACCUGAUGUCCAAUGAGAGUUGAGGGAGUAAUAAUUCAUCUCAUGUCCUAAAUCAUGU